CCUACGGGUGGCUGCAGUUUCGAAUCCUUCACAAUGGGCGAAAGCCUGAUGGUGCGACGCCGCGUGAGGGAUGAAGGUCUUCGGAUUGUAAACCUCUGUCACUGGGGAGAAAACGCUUUGAGUUAAUAGUUCAAAGCCUGAUUUAACCCGGAGAGGAAGCAGUGGCUAACUCUGUGCCAGCAGCCGCGGUAAUACAGAGACUGCAACACUUAGUCGGAAUCACUGGGAGGCGGUUGUGUGCGGCAGAUGUGAAAUCCCGAGGCUUAACCUCGGAACUGCGUCUGAAGCUACUCGACUAGAGUACUGGAGAGGGAAACGGAAUUCACGGUGUAGCAGUGAAAUGCGUAGAUAUCGUGAGGAACACCAGAGGCGAAGGCGGUUUCCUGGACAGUUACUGACGCUCAGGCACGAAAGCAUGGGGAGCAAAAGGGAUUAGAUACCCCUGUAGUC
rnacentral:rRNA from 1 species